AUUGAACGCUGGCGGCAGGCCUAACACAUGCAAGUCGAACGAGUGGCGGACGGGUGAGUAAUGUCUGGGAAACUGCCCGAUGGAGGGGGAUCACUACUGGAAACGGUAGCUAAUACCGCAUACCAUCGGAUGAGCCCAGAUGGGAUUAGCUAGUUGGUGGGGUAACGGCUCACCUAGGCGACGCUCCCUAGCUGGUCUGAGAGGAUGACCAGCCACACUGGAACUGAGACACGGUCCAGACUCCUCCGGGGGGCAGCGGUGGGGAAUAUUGGAAAAGGGGGGCAAGCCUGAUGCAGCCAGGCGGGGGGUAUGAAGAAGGCUUUCGGGUUUUAAAGUACGUUCAGCGAGGAGGCGUUACUCGCAGAAGAAGCACCGGCUAACUCCGUGCCAGCAGCCGCGGUAAUUC
rnacentral:rRNA from 1 species